rnacentral:rRNA from 1 species
GUAGGUGGCAAGCGUUGUCCGGAAUUAUUGGGCGUAAAGCGCGCGCAGGUGGGUUCUUUAAGUCUUAUGUGAAAGCCCCCGGGCUCAACCGGGGAGGGUCAUUGGAAACUGGGGAACUUGAGUGCAGGAGAGGAAAGUGGAAUUCCACGUGUAGCGGUGAAAUGCGUAGAUAUGUGGAGGAACACCAGUGGCGAAGGCGACUUUCUGGCCUGUAACUGACACUGAGGCGCGAAAGCGUGGGGAGCAAACAGGAUUAGAUACCCUGGUAGUCCACGCCGUAAACGAUGAGUGCUAAGUGUUGGGGGGUUUCCGCCCCUCAGUGCUGCAGCUAACGCAUUAAGCACUCCGCCUGGGGAGUACGGUCGCAAAGACUG